UACGAAGGGGGCUAGCGUUGUCCGGAAUCAUUGGGCGUAAAGCGCGCGUAGGCGGCCUCGUAAGUCCGUUGUGAAAGUCAAAGGCUCAACCUUUGAAAGCCGAUGGAUACUGUGAGGCUAGAGUCCGGAAGAGGCGAGUGGAAUUCCUGGUGUAGCGGUGAAAUGCGUAGAUAUCAGGAGGAACACCGGUGGUGUAGACGGCUUUCUGGACCGUAACUGACGCUGAGACACGAAAGCGUGGGUAGCAAACAGG
rnacentral:rRNA from 1 species